CGACUACAGCUCUCUGGAUUCACUCUGGCCUUUCAAUGCAUGUGUUAUCCUCAUCGGCUGUCGAAGAUC
rnacentral:snoRNA from 1 species